UAAAGAAAGCGUAAUAGCUCACUGGUCGAGUCGGCCUGCGCGGAAGAUGUAACGGGGCUAAACCAUGCACCGAAGCUGCGGCAGCGACACUGUGUGUUGUUGGGUAGGGGAGCGUUCUGUAAGCCUGUGAAGGUGGCCUGUGAGGGUUGCUGGAGGUAUCAGAAGUGCGAAUGCUGACAUAAGUAACGAUAAAGCGGGUGAAAAGCCCGCUCGCCGGAAGACCA
rnacentral:rRNA from 1 species